rnacentral:rRNA from 1 species
UACGUAGGGUGCGAGCGUUGUCCGGAAUUAUUGGGCGUAAAGGGCUCGUAGGCGGUUUGUCGCGUCGGGAGUGAAAACCUCGGGCUUAACUCGGGGCUUGCUUUCGAUACGGGCAGACUAGAGGUAUGCAGGGGAGAACGGAAUUCCUGGUGUAGCGGUGAAAUGCGCAGAUAUCAGGAGGAACACCGGUGGCGAAGGCGGUUCUCUGGGCAUGAUCUGACGCUGAGGAGCGAAAGCGUGGGGAGCGAACAGG